GGGGGUGCAGCUCAGUGGUACAGCACUUGCCUAGCAGUUGCAAGGCUCUCGGUUCAACCCAAGUGCCCCCC
rnacentral:tRNA from 1 species